rnacentral:rRNA from 1 species
CCUACGGGGGGCAGCAGUGGGGAAUAUUGGGCAAUGGGCGCAAGCCUGACCCAGCAACGCCGCGUGAAGGAUGAAGGUUUUCGGAUUGUAAACUUCUGUCGCGAGGGACGAAGAAUGACGGUACCUCGUAAGAAAGCACCGGCUAACUACGUGCCAGCAGCCGCGGUAAUACGUAGGGGGCAAGCGUUGUCCGGAAGGACGGGGCGGAAAGGGAGUGUAGGCGGCUCAUCAAGUCAGAUGUGAAAUCCCGGGGCUUAACCGCGGAACUGCAUCUGAUACUGGUAAGCUGGAGUGCAGGAGAGGGGAGUGGAAUUCCAAGUGUAGCGGUGGAAUGCGUAGAGAUGAGGAGGAACACCAGGGGCGAAGGCGGCUCACUGGACUGUAACUGACGCUGAGGCUCGAAAGCGUGGGGAGCAAACAGGAUUAGAUACCCCUGUAGUC